AACGUAGGUGGCGAGCGUUAUCCGGAUUUACUGGGCGUAAAGGGUGUGCAGGCGGGAUGACAAGUGGGGUAUGAAAUAUCCCGGCUUAACCGGGAAGGGUUAUGCCAGACUGUCAUUCUAGAGUGCGAGAGAGGGACGUGGAAUUCCGGGUGGAGUGGUGAAAUGCGUAGAGAUCCGGAGGAACACCGAAGGCGAAGGCAGUGUCCUGGCGAGUGACUGACGCUGAGGUGCGAAAGCCAGGGGAGCGAACGGG
rnacentral:rRNA from 1 species